rnacentral:misc_RNA from 1 species
CUGGCCGCGUCGGGCGCAUGCCACACCGAGCACAGCACGCUGGCCAGGGGGUUGGCCGGGGCACCGCUAGCCGCUGGCUACGGAGGGCAUGGGCGCUGCGCAGGGGGCCUGCAUGCCGCUACCUCACGCAGGGCUAGGCGAGGGGAGGAGGGGCUAGAGUUCGGCCACCCGGCUCCACUGCACAGGGACGCGCUCACGCCGGGAAAGGGCACGCGAGUGGAGGGACGACGCCGACGGGAUGAGGGAGAGGGAGGAGUGGGUUCUCACCUGUGCACGAUGGCCGCUGGCCAUGGCUGGUCGGGCGUGUAG